rnacentral:lncRNA from 1 species
AACUAAGACCCACAGCUCCUACGAGCCACCAACGGAGGUCAUCACAGGCAACAAUAAUCCAAUAUUACGUGACAACAUCAAUUACUGCACAAUUACAGUCUUUCCAUGCAUUUGAUAGACAACAAGUUUUGUCUUGCAUUGAAGGUUGAAGUUGGGGAGUGGGGGGUGGGGGAGGGAUUCUCCUACUAGCUGGAAUAUUACAAGACCAGUCUUCCCAUGCACCCA